CAGCGCCGGUGCCAGGUCAGCAGUCUGGCUGGAGCUCGGACGUGGCUGGCUGUGCCAGGCAGUGCCAGGCGCCCCGGGGAGCCCUGAAGAGGAUUCCCCAAAGGGGAUUCGUUCUGCAGCCCGGAGGAUGCUUUGACGACUGCCUCCCGCGAGGAAACAGGGGCUGCAUGGCUGCUUCACAGACAAGCCUGUUGGAGCACGGACCUCCCCGGCUGGGAGCCCGCUGCUGUGACAAAGGCAGCCCGGCUGGCUGAGAACCUGCACAGGAAAUGUUGAUCAACUACAAUGUGCCACAUUCUGGGAAGAUCACUGGGGCCAUGACGAUUCAUGAGACAGUCUUCUUGCCCUGAAAAUACACAAUCUGGAGGCAGAGAAAAAGACAAGUAGACAAUUAUAGGAUGCAAUGGUGAGGACUGGGAGAGAGGCCUUCUCAGGAGCCCUGAGGACUGAGGAGGGUUGGAGUCAGGGAGAAUGACCUUGAGCUGUGUGAAGGUCAGCUGGAAGACUGAAGAGUAUUGAAGUAGGACAUUCUAGACGAUCAUAGAGAGCCCCACGGUCCAUGGGGCAAGCAUGGGCUUCCAUCGAAGGAUGUGAGAAACUAUUGGAAAGAUUCCAGCUGGGAAGCUCCAAGCAGAACCUUGAGGUUGAAUUCAUACCUUGAUGGCUGUGUUCAAGGAGGGACUCAAUGGGGGAGAAAAGUGAGAUCCAACAAAUUGAGGGAACUCUUCCAAAGGAGAAGAGACAAUGAAGGCACCGGCGGCCUUCGAGACUGUGGCUGUCACCACGGGGCCCUCCCCGCCACCCUGCGCUGGCCUUCAGGCUCGCUUCUGAGGGAGAGCACGCAGGACGCCUCCUGGCUUCCUCCCGGGCCGGGCUCCCUCUCUCCCUGGGGUGUGUGGCCUGGGAGCCCUGACCUGCCUACAGGGUGUCGGCUGCCCGAUGCUCCCUGGCUGGAGGUGCACCUGCAGGUGGAGAAGCCUGAGGAGCUCAGCGAGGGCCCAGCACCGGCCACCAGCUCUGGAGCAGGUGCGGCUCCCAGCCUUCCGAGGGAAGCAGAGAGGCUGGCCUCAUGGGGACGCACCUGGAGGCCAGCUGGGGAUGGGACAAAUGAAUGUUGAUCUCGCCUUAAGCCACUAAGUUUGGGUGGAUGGGGACAUUCAUAGUCACUGGUGAUCACAUUCUGUCCGAGAUCUUUAUUCAGUGGAUGUUUUAUCCAGAAGAAAGUCUCUUUCAGAUCAAUCUCUUUGGCUUAAUUAUGAGAAUAAGGGGAAGCAAUUUAUGCAGAGACAACUUUUAAACAUCUAAUGUGAUCAUGAAGCAGACCUGAUUGAUAGAGGCUUCACUGUGCCCAACUCAGAAGCGUAGGCUUCGCGGAGAUGUUCUUACGUUUUCCUGAGGAACGAUUUGGGGGCACCGAGCCUGUUGUUAACCCUCUGGUUAACCAACAGUCUUUAAAAAAAAAUCAUACCUAGCAUACCCCUGAUAUUCAGGAAGGAAUUUUGAUUUUAUUUUCCCCAGUCCCUCCUCAUCAUCCCAGGGCACACUAUUAUCUCCCCAAAAGAUAGAAGGCAGAUACGUUUUCGAAGUGCUUAUACACCUGAUGACAACAUCAGGCAGUUUGGCUGAGCAUGGUUCUCACAUCUGCGGCUUUCUCCACCGAAACCCCAGAGCUGCACGUGCAACUCUUCAGCACCUGUUGCAGGGGCGCGUUCUCAGAUCAGCCUCCACCUGCUGGUCUCCGGGGAGCUCUGCUCUGAACGGAGGGAUGGGUGCUCGUAAGACUUUGCUUCACUCUUCCUUCUAAUUAAAAGAUUGUCAGAACCUGCCUAGAUGUGGAGCUGAUAAGAAUUUUAAAGGCUCCUCUUUGUAUAUAUAUUCAGGUCUUCCCAAAAUCCCAGAUGUCGUAAUGACACACAACAUCCCUCACAGCUCCCCGCCUUCCUUGCCCAGGACCUCUGGGUGCAUUUUGCCCUUUCUGAGAACACUUCUACCAUCAGUUUCCCUCCUUCUUGACCUUCAGGACUCUGCCCCUCAUUCAGAGAUGCCGCUUUGACCAUGUGAUCCCGAAAGUUUCCCCCAGUGUGUCUUUUAUGCUUCAUUUAACCCGCUUCAUUUUUUAAAAGCAUUUAUCGUUAUCUGAAAAUAUUCUAUCUCCCUCCAGGUUGGCUUAUUUAUUAUGGCCUUUCUUCUUUUGCUAGAACGAAAGCUCCUCGAGAACAGGACGCUUCCGCGUUAUCCACUGAGUUGUUCCCCACAGCCUGACACGUGCCUGGAACACAGAGAUUGCCCCAUAAAUAUUUAUCAAAGAACGAGUGAAGAAAUGAGUGAUGAAUAAUCAAGUUCCUUCACAGAAACUACUAACAUUUUUUGACUGUGUUGUUUUUUUUUUUUUUUUUUUUUUUAUCCCUGAUGACCACAUCUACCCCGCCUCUCGGGUUUGGCUCUGGAUGCUUUUCCUCCCUGUUGCAGAUCCCGCCUGCACUCCCUCCCUUCGCAGCACACCUGCCACAGUCAGCCUUCCAUGUGCGUUUGAAAUCUCUCCUGCUACAUGGUGAAAGUUUUCCUUCCAUCCUUCUCCACCCUCUUUCCUUUAUUUACCCUGGGGCAGCAAAUGACCCCUGGUGGGGGGACGUCACACUGCCAGGCUUAGGAAGUAGCACCCGGGAAGACAGGUGCCCUGCUUUCUGAAGGUUACCGGUCUGGGAUUUCCUUACAGGGGACAAUCUGGGACACGUUUCCAGCAGGCAUCCCUCAAAGGCAUGAGGACAGUGCCAGGUCUGUUCCGCGGCAGUUGUCCCCUAUGUACCCUGGGUUCCUAACUGUGGCUUACACUAUGCAAUUAGCUCAGCGGUUGCAGCCAGGGCUCUGAUUUCGGAGGCUACCAGCCAGACACAUGCUUUGACGUAACACAUUUCAAAAUUGAGGCAUAACUUACGUGGAGUACCAGGCCACGCCUUAGAAACUCAGAGACCUGACUCUGGGAUCGAUAGGUGGGCUUAGCAGACGGGUUCAAGGUCCUCAAAUCCGUAUCCGGUGCCGAGGACAUGGAAGCUCAGAGAGACAAAAGAGCUCUCCCUAGAUCACUCAGCAAGGAAAUGCCAUCUCUGAGAGGUAGGCCAUGUCUGACCCUGAGAGAAACUGCUCUUUUCUACAUCACUUUACUAUCCAAGGUCAUAGCGGGGAUGUUUUUAAACCAUAGCCUUUUUGUUUUCUUUCCUGGAAUCACAAAGCUUGUGGUGUUUUAUAAAAAUGGAAUGAAGUGAGGAAGUGACCACAUUGAAUAAUAAGUCAUAUUUAUAUUUUAAGGAAAAGUACCAAAAAUGUUACAGUUCUACUUAAAGCUACUGAAUUGUCUGCCAUCUGAGAACCAGCUGUAUGUAUAGCAGUGGAUUUGGCUCUGGACGCUGUGUGUUAAGAAGAUGUGAUCAAAUUUAAAGUGAUUCCGUGGAGGGUGACAUGGAUAUAGUAAGAGUAGUGAGUUCCCUGCCAGUGAAUGUGGUCAAGGCCUGGCUGGUUGGUUGUGCAGACAGCUACAUAGUACCUAACUCAUCAUAAAUGUCCAAUAUCCCAGGGGGUGGAUGGAUGAAUGAAUGGAGCAUCUAAUAGGUCACCAGAAUUCAUUGCCUUUAAAGUAUCUCUAAACCCUGGGACUCCAUUAGUCUAUGCUGCUCUGGUGCCAUAUCUAGCCCUGUACAAAAACACUCUGAUUCUUCCUACAGUUUGCGCGCUAUGUGAAAUAUUCGGCUGCUCGCUAUGCCAUAGAUCCAUAUUCUGACAUUCUGAGAGAGGAAAUUCUCUCUGAAUGCUCAAUGCCGAUAAGUGUAUUGGCUGUCUGGCAUGCCAUCAUUCAUGCCAUCUGUUCGGGUGGCAUCAUGCCUAAUUGCAAGGUGGCCUGACAGUUUUAAGGGGCCCUGCAUGCCAAUCACAUCUGAGCCUAGCUAGCUAACCUGCAGAACUCGGAACGUAACAAGCUGAGAAAAGUUACCCUGCUGGUCAAUCACAAUUUCAAAUGAAAAGAUCAUGCUUCAUUAAAAAUUGCCAUCUUUUUUGACCAUGGUAGGUGUCCUUCAGGUAGCCCCUCCUGAGUUCAUUCUCCCGUCUGUGACCGCUGCCGUGGGAUCUCAUGCCGUGGAGAGAUCAUGGACAAAGACCACGUCUUGUCCAGCCAGAGCCACCGAAGCCUUACAAAUGUUCAGAGUGUCUUAAACUCUCAUGCUUGGAAACAAAUGCUCUGGGCUGCUAGAAUUUUACAGCAUUGUCUUCCUAUAAUAAGCAAACAUCUGUUACCCUAAAAUUCAGUUUAUCUUUUGGAAAAGAUGCAGUAGGAGGCUGGAUACGAGUGAAUUUGCUUACCUCCUGGAAUUGUUAUGGAAAAGACCCAACAUAAGCAUUAAAAUAUGUAGAUUGUUCAACUGCAUUCUUGACACUGGAAAUCUGGGAAUGUGUGUUUAGGUUUAGAGCUGCUGGUUAGAGAGAGAGAGUAGGCUCAGAGAUGUUAAAAGACUUAUUCAAGAUCAAAUAGGUAGUUAAUGCAGAGCUGGGAUCAUAACGCUUGACAUAUUCUCAUUUCUCCCCAAACACAGCUGCUAUAAUGGUAAUUGCUAUUCUAGUGAAAUGGCAAUCAGGGUUUUCAAGAAGUCUGGAUUGACCAUGUUUUUCUUGUUAGUUCACUGUCCCUUUAUUGACCUUUCCUUUUUUUUUCUCCUUUUGCAUAAUCAACCCAACUAGUCAUGCACUUAAACAUAUUUCUUCAAUAUAAUGAGUGCAUAAAAUUUUUGAAGAUUUGAAGUUCAUUGUCUUUGAGACAUUUAAUGUGGCCACCCCAUUUCUUAUUUUCAUGAAGUAAUGUCUAUUGUGAGCCCUGC